UACAGAGGUCUCAAGCGUUGUUCGGAUUCAUUGGGCGUAAAGGGUGCGUAGGCGGCGCGGUAAGUCGGGUGUGAAAUCUCGGGGCUUAACUCCGAAACUGCAUUCGAUAACUGCCGUGCUUGAGGACUGGAGAGGAGACUGGAAUUUACGGUGUAGCGGUGAAAUGCGUAGAUAUCAGGAGGAACACCAAUUGCGAAGGCAGCUCGCUGGGACGUCACUGACGCUGAGACGCGAAAGCGUGGGGAGCAAACAGG
rnacentral:rRNA from 1 species